rnacentral:rRNA from 1 species
UACGUAGGGGGCUAGCGUUGUCCGGAAUCAUUGGGCGUAAAGAGCGCGUAGGCGGCCAGAUAAGUCCGGUGUGAAAGUCAAAGGCUCAACCUUUGAAUGCCGCUGGAAACUGUCUGGCUAGAGUCCGGGAGGGGCGAGUGGAAUUCCUGGUGUAGCGGUGAAAUGCGCAGAUAUCAGGAGGAACAUCAGUGGCGAAAGCGGCUUCCUGGACCAGCACCGACGUUCAGGCACGAAAGCGUGGGGAGCAAACAGG